rnacentral:rRNA from 1 species
CCUACGGGAGGCAGCAGUGGGGAAUAUUGGGCAAUGGGCGCAAGCCUGACCCAGCAACGCCGCGUGAAGGAAGAAGGCUUUCGGGUUGUAAACUUCUUUUCUCAGGGACGAACAAAUGACGGUACCUGAGGAAUAAGCCACGGCUAACUACGUGCCAGCAGCCGCGGUAAUACGUAGGUGGCAAGCGUUAUCCGGAUUUACUGGGUGUAAAGGGCGUGUAGGCGGGAAGGCAAGUCAGAUGUGAAAACUAUGGGCUCAACCCAUAGCCUGCAUUUGAAACUGUUUUUCUUGAGUGCUGGAGAGGCAAUCGGAAUUCCGUGUGUAGCGGUGAAAUGCGUAGAUAUACGGAGGAACACCAGUGGCGAAGGCGGAUUGCUGGACAGUAACUGACGCUGAGGCGCGAAAGCGUGGGGAGCAAACAGGA